rnacentral:lncRNA from 10 species
GGGGCGUUCUUUUCUAAUCUGAGAAACUCCAAGGAGGUGGGGCCCGCGAGACACAACAGGCAGGCUAAAUUGUGCGGUUAACGGUCAAAGCCCCCCUGCCUACUUUGACACUCAUUUAAAGAUGACAGGGAACAAUAGAGAUUUGUUCUGUGCAACCCUUUCUUGUUAUGCCGGCGACAUCAGCUCCGCACAUGAAACUGCCCGAUAUUUCAUUCCACCUGCCACCUCCCUCCCGCCUCGGUCGACUCUCUCCUCUGCUACUUUGCUUGUCCCCACUUUAACACAAAGAGACAGCAGCUCUGUGUUCACAGCACCUAACAGUGUUGAAAAAGAAUGCUAUUUAAAACCCGAGUUGAGACAUCACCUUUCCAAACCCAUGACUGCUUCCUGGCUCACUAAACACGAACCAGAAAUUAAUGCUGCAAAGAGCAGAGACAAGAGAUUCGACUGUGUUAGCCAGGAUGGUCUCGAUCUCCUGACUUCGUGAUCUGCCCGCCUCAGCCUCCCAAAGUGCUGGGAUUACAGGCUUGAGCCACUGUGCCUGGCUUCAGGCUGGGAUUUUUAUAGCUUAUUAUGGCAAGGGAGGAGACGGAGAGUAAAAGAAGAAGGAAGAGCAUACACAGUCACCCCUUGUGUGACAAAUAUGCAAGAAAUAAAGAUAAAUGUGUACAAUUCUUACAAUUUUACUUUUCUGAAUUUUGCUAUUGCACUGAAUGAUUUGUGAUAAGACAGAUGGGGAUGAAAAAUAUACUUAUUAAA